AUGUGCCUCAGACUUCUCUGCUGUGUGCUGCUCUCUCCUUCCUCCACAGGUUCCAUGGACACCAAGGUCACCCAGAGACCUAGACUUCUGGUCAAAGCAAAUGAACAGAAAGCAAAGAUGGAUUGUGUUCCUAUAAAAGGACAUAGUUACGUUUACUGGUAUCGUAAGAAGCUGGAAGAAGAGCUCAAGUUUUUGCUUUACUUUCAGAAUGAAGAAAUUCAGAAAGCAGAAAUAAUCAAUGAGCGAUUUUCAGCCCAAUACCCCAAAAACUCAUCCUGUACCUUGGAGAUCCAGUCCACGGAGACAGGGGACAUGGCACUGUAUUUCUGUGCCAGCAGCAAAGCCACAGUGCCGAAUGGCAGCCCUUCUUAG